CAGUCGCCGCGGGAAUACGAAGGGUGCAAGCGUUAAUCGGAAUUACUGGGCGUAAAGCGUGCGUAGGCGGUGAGUUAAGUCUGCUGUGAAAUCCCCGGGCUCAACCUGGGAAUGGCAGUGGAUACUGGCUCGCUAGAGUGUGUCAGAGGAUGGUGGAACUCCCGGUGUAGCAGUGAAAUGCGUAGAGAUGUGGAGGAACACCGAUGGCGAAGGCAGCCCCCUGGGCCAAUACUGACGCUCAUGCACGAAAGCGUGGGGAGCAAACAGGAUUAGAUACCCCCGUAGUCCCUGUCUCUUAUAC
rnacentral:rRNA from 1 species